AUUGAACGCUGGCGGCAGGCCUAACACAUGCAAGUCGAGCGGAUGACGGGAGCUUGCUCCUUGAUUCAGCGGCGGACGGGUGAGUAAUGCCUAGGAAUCUGCCUGGUAGUGGGGGACAACGGUUCGAAAGGAACGCUAAUACCGCAUACGUCCUACGGGAGAAAGCAGGGGACCGUCGGGCCUUGCGCUAUCAGAUGAGCCUAGGUCGGAUUAGCUAGUUGGUGGGGUAAUGGCUCAACAAGGCGACAAUCCGUAACUGGGCUGAGAGGAUGAUCAGUCACACUGGAACUGAGACACGGUCCAGACUACUACGGGAGGCAGCAGUGGGGAAUAUUGGACAAUGGGCGAAAGCCUGAUCCAGCCAUGCCGCGUGUGUGAAGAAGGUCUUCGGAUUGUAAAGCACUUUAAGUUGGGAGGAAGGGCAGUAAGUUAAUACCUUGCUGUUUUGACGUUACCGACAGAAUAAGCACCGGCUAACUCUGUGCCAGCCGCCGCGGUAA
rnacentral:rRNA from 1 species